AAGAAAUGAAGAAACUAAAAUUGGUCUUAGUAUUGAAGUGAAGACACUGAGAUCCAACUCUGAUCUUGCCCUAAAC
ensembl:snoRNA SNORD19C small nucleolar RNA, C/D box 19C